ACAGGUUGUUUUCUGUAUAAACAACUGCGAGGCAAUUUUACAAAACCAUGACCAAAUAGUUCUUAAGUUGAUAAAUAAUAUUAUAUACAUUAUCAUGUUUUUUCAUUUUUAACUAAUUCCUUCCACAAAAUUAUGGGCGAAUUGAAAGGAUAUUAAUAUAAUAACAUGAAUGGAUAUGUUAAAAAAUAAGUUGAACUGUUUCGAAGGAUUUUUAAAGCAUUUUGUAAAACAGAACAAUUAUCGAAAGAUUAAAUCGAUCAGCAAAAGUGAACUUUGCCCCUUCCCUGAAAAAAAUCUGGGACGUCUAUGCAUAAAAUAUACUGCUAUAAAAUACAGCAACUAUUAAAACUAUUUUUAAACUAUAUUUGUUGAGCAGUAUUUAAAACUUGAUUAAUGCAAACAAGAGGCAUAGGGAGCUGAACAGUUUGUGUGAACUAACCGAUUAACAUUGUUGUGGUUGUUCAAACAAAAAGUUCACAAAGUUGCGUAGGAGUCGUCGAUACCUUUGUGAAACAGUAUUGCGACUAUUUCUGGUGAUUUUCCGAAACAAUGAAAUAUUUUUAAUGACGCUUUUUAUUAUUGAUUGAUUUUUUUAUUUUUAUAAUUGAGAUUAUUUUAAGAUUAUUUAUCGAUUGCUCAUCUUCAUCGUGUCCAUUCAUCAAAAACAUAAUGACAAAACAAAUCCAGUAAUAGCUCUAAUAUAAAAGUCUGCAUUCCUAUUCUUAACUUCAGACGAGAGUGAAGGACGAGAGAAGAAGUCAAAUUAAAAAAAAAAAAAAAAAGCAAAGAUAAAAAUGGAUGCUAUAAAAUUCUUGAUUAUUGGUUUUGGAUUUUUGCUGUUGUUACAUAUGACGUUUACAAAGCCAACUUUUACUUGUGAAAGUGAAUGUAAUGGAGAAUACGAUCUUUGUGAUAUAUCUUCUGAAAACAUUGAACAAAAAGCGACAUGUUUAAAUUCGAGAUUACAAUGCAUGCUAGAUUGUUCAAGAAAACAACUAGCAAGGUUAAAGAAACUUACAAAGGUUUGAAAAAGUAUCUAUUAUAUACAAAAAAACUUAUCAAAAAUAGUUGCGCAACGACCUAUCCGAUGUACCAUCUGAAAACAUUGAACAAAAGGCGUCGUGUUUAUGUUUGAGAUUAUAAUGCGUGUUUAAAUGUUCAAGAAAUCAACUAACGAUGUUUAAAGUAUCCGUUAUACAAAAAGACUUUUACGUUAUUUACAAAGAAAGUUACGUUAUAAUACUAAGUAUACAAAAAGAUAAUUAUUUAUGUAUUUAUAAUUUUUUCAAUAAUUUAUUGUCACAAAUUUAUUAAAGAAGAUAUAAUAUUUAUAA